UUCAUGUAUGACCUCAUCCUGUCUUCACAUAACCUAAAGAAUCCGUGAUAAACAGUGACCAUGACAAUGGAACCGACUUGUUCACAUUUUGCAGCAAAGUCUGUAAUGAACAAUUUGUAAAUGGCCAGUUAAUGUUUUGGUCCUGUUUCUUGAUCUGUGGCACAAUUCCUUCAGCUAAGUCAGUGGCUCAGCAGACUGGAGGGAGCUGGCCUAGAUCCCUCAGUGCCAGUAAAAUGAACUUCCAUGCACUCCAUUGCUUCUGGUGAUGUCUACCAACCAAAGGGGAAUGGCUUCCAAGGCCACCUAUAUGUCACGGUGUUCCCCUGCUCUGUGCAAUGACACAUAGGCCUGCCAGCGCACCAGGGUGGGAGGACUCAGAAGACCUAAGCUAUGGAGGGUUUGCCAUCUGCCUUAGCCCCAAGUACAGCUCAUUCUGAAGAACCUGAGCAUGCAUUAGAAGCCUUGGGACUCACCCAGGGCAGUUUGAAGGGGAACCAGGACUGGAUGGAUCUACAGUUCCAUUGGCAUCUGUUUUAUAUAUUGGCUUCCAUUUGAAGAACACUUUCCAUUGCUAUAAACAGCUUGAAAACCCCAAGCUAAUCCAGACUUUCUCCAUGAUAGGAAAGAAAACCAAGCUGAAAGAGAAGAGCUGAAACUGAGAUCCAGGUCUCCUAGUCCCAGGGAUCUUUGUCUGCUGUCCAAGCAAUUCCCUUAACUCUCUCCUCAUCCAGAUUGUAAGUUUUAGUUGGUGGUCUGUUCCCAGCCUUGAAUAACCAAAAUGUUUACUAGUGUGCUGACCACCAAGACAAGGUAUGGCCAGGCAGGAUGUCCAGUUCAGCUGCAUGGAUCAAAAAAACCAAAAGGACAGUCACUUAAACAAGAUAAAGGUUUAUUUCUCUAUUAUAUAGGCAGCAGAGUUGAUAUGGCAGUUCCAUACUAACAUCUUAAAACUUUUAAGAUCCCAAGCUCUUUCCAAUCCCUCAGUCAGCCAUCUCAAAGACUCCUUUGACACCUUUGGGACACAAGAUGGCAACCAGAACUCCAGCCACUACAUCCAUUUCCAGGAAGCAGACUAGAGGAGGGCAACAAGUAAACAGAGCAAAUGGAGAUAUUGUUGUUUCAAAGGAAAUUUCCUGAAAACUGCUACAAACCACCUCUACUCUAUGUCUUCAAACAACUGGCUCCAAAAAAGAUGAAAAGAGAACAUGUAGGCAGCCAUCCUCCCAACUAAAUAUUUCAGCUUCUAGUUCAAAAAGAAGGGAGAACUGCUAUUGGAGAACUUCUCUGCUGUGCUAGGAUUAUUUCAUUAAUACUCCAACAUUGUGAAGUAAUUUAUCUCUUCUGUACAGAUGAGAAAACUGAGUCUUAAAGAAGAUCUUUGAUCAAGGUCACAUACUCAAAAGCCCUGGCCUCCACAUUUUAGAAACCUGUCUCAAUAUGUGGUUCUCCACCGUCGGGAGCAACUCUGCUGCCCCUCCCCCAUGCCCCGUCCUGCCCACCCCUGUCUCCAGGAUACAUGUGACAAAAUGACAAUGUGCGGAGAUAUCUGGGGAUGUCACAACUGGAGUGGACCGUGCUCCUGCCACCUAGGCGGUUAGAGCCUACAGUGCACAGGAAGAUCCUCCACAAUAAGGAAUUAUCCAGCCCAGAAACUCUACAGGGCUGAGGCUAAGAAACCUGAUUGAAAGGAAGGUAUUCCUUUAGGGCAAAGAACAGAGGCUCACCAAAUAAUGAUUUUUCCCAAAAAUGUCACAGGGCAAAGGGAACGAUUCCUGAAGGAGAGAUUUAUAAAUAGAUCUAGGUUAGACUGCGCUGAGCACUCUCUAGCCGCCCCACCAACCACCACACACACACACACACACACACACACACACGCCUCUGGGUCUGCCGGUACGUGCCUGGUUCUUGGAAGUCAAGGAUUGAGACCCUCAAGCCAGCUACCAAACUGAAACUUGGAGCGGGACCGCUCAGAGGCCCAGGGUUUCGGGACAUCUCUUAAAAAAAAAAAAAAAAAAAACAGAAACGAGGCUUUGGCGUGGCCCCUGCAAGUGAGGUUUGGUGUCAUCAGCUUCAGGGUAAACCCAUUCUCUGGAAGCCCAGCUAUUAGGAAACCCGCGGAGCGCGGUGCUUUCGCCUCGGUCCGCACCUGGACUCAGCGGUGACAGACAGCUCCACUGGAAACUCUCGGCACAGCGUCCCCUCCAACCAGCGCGGUCCUGGGCGCGCCACCGCUGGGCUGCGCGUUGGCUGCAUCGCCCCCUGGUGGACUCCCGGGGCACCGCCGCCCGCUCCUGGCAAGCCCAGUCUCCACUCGCAGAUGACUCCUGAUAAGGUACUCACCCUGUUCAAUACCCCACACCAUCUACCUCCCCAUCGUCAGCAUUAGGGACGGACAGAAAUACACCCGAUUCCAGGCGGCUGGAGGCUUCUCUCCGAUGUGGCAACCCGGCCCAAUUAUAAUAAUUACGUCUUGCAAAUCAUAACCCUUUUGAUAUUUUAAACUCCUGAACAUGGCUCCUGUUGACAUCCCUCACACUUCCCUUGCACAACAGAAACACACACCGUCACACGCGAUCACCUGUACUCCUGAUAGAUCCAACAAGAUGAGGUUGCCAGAGGCCAUCAUCCGAGCAUCUUCCCCCAGCCCUGAGGUCUUCACCUGGUGCUGUCCUCCCCACCCUUUACAUCUGUUUGAAGAUCACUUUCCUAUCCAGGAAGACUUCUUUGCUCCUGAAAGAAGGAAUACCACAUUCUGGGAAGAUGCAGGAAACAACAUUCAGGACAAUGUAAUGGGUCAAGGAGUGGUCUCCCCCACCCCCAUUCACAGUCACCUUGAAUCUCAGAAUGUGACUUUAUUUGGAAAUAAGUUCUUUGCAGAUGUAACUAGUUAAGAUGUCAAACUGGAUUUGGAUGGCCCCUAACCCAAAAUGGCUGGCAUCUUUAUAAGACAAAGGAGAAUGAGAUUUAGGCACAGGGACACAGGGAAGAAGCCAUGUGAUGAAGAAGGCAGAGACUGAAGCAAUGUAUCUACAAAGCCAGAAACAAGGAGUGUCAUCAAACACCAGCAGCUAGGAGAGGGGCACAGAGUCAUCUCACAAAGAGCCUCCAGGAGGGCUGAACCCCACAAACAACUUCAUUUCAGGUUUCUGGCCUCCUGGACUAUGAGAGAAUAAACCUCUAUUGUUUUGAGCCACUAA